CCCCGCUACCAUUGGACAAAAAGACAUCGUGUUGAUGGUGUUCUUAUAUCAGUCAGGGGCAGAGCAGAUGGCAGACCUUUGUUCAUUCUAGCUUGGUUCUUGGCUCAUUGGCCAAAGCUGUUUUGUGCCUAGGACAAAUAA